UACGUAGGGUGCGAGCGUUUAAUCGGAAUUACUGGGCGUAAAGCGUGCGCAGGCGGUUUUGUAAGCCAGAUGUGAAAUCCCCGGGCUUAACCUGGGAAUGGCAUUUGGGACUGCAAGGCUGGAGUUUGGCAGAGGAGACUGGAAUUCCUGGUGUAGCAGUGAAAUGCGUAGAUAUCAGGAGGAAUACCGAUGGCGAAGGCAGGUCUCUGGGCUAUAACUGACGCUCAUGACA
rnacentral:rRNA from 1 species